rnacentral:rRNA from 1 species
UUUGCCUGCCAUCUCUUACCCAUGUCUUUUGAGUACCUUACGUUUCCUCGGCGGGUCCGCCCGCCGACUGGACAAUUUAAACCACUUGCAGUUGCAAUCAGCGUCUGAAAAAACUUAAUAGUUACAACUUUCAACAACGGAUCUCUUGGUUCUGGCAUCGAUGAAGAACGCAGCGAAAUGCGAUAAGUAGUGUGAAUUGCAGAAUUCAGUGAAUCAUCGAAUCUUUGAACGCACAUUGCGCCCCUUGGUAUUCCAUGGGGCAUGCCUGUUCGAGCGUCAUUUGUACCUUCAAGCCUUGCUUGGUGUUGGGUGUUUGUCUCGCCUCUGCGCGUAGACUCGCCUCAAAACAAUUGGCAGCCGGCGUAUUGAUUUCGGAGCGCAGUACAUCUCGCGCUUUGCACUCAGAACGACGACGUCCAAAAGUACAUUUUUACACU